AUUGAACGCUGGCGGCAGGCCUAACACAUGCAAGUCGAACGAGUGGCGGACGGGUGAGUAAUGUCUGGGAAACUGCCUGAUGGAGGGGGAUAACUACUGGAAACGGUAGCUAAUACCGCAUACCAUCAGAUGUGCCCAGAUGGGAUUAGCUUGUUGGUGGGGUAACGGCUUACCAAGGCGACGAUCCCUAGCUGGUCUGAGAGGAUGACCAGCGACGCAGGAGCUGAGACGAGGUCCAGACUCCUACGGGCGGCAGCAGGGGGGAUUAGUGCACAACGGGCGCAAGCCUGCCGCAGCCAUCCCGCGUGUAUCAGGAAGGCCUUGGGGUUGAAAGGUACAUUCAGCGGGGAGGCGUUACCCGAAGAGGAAGCACCGGCAAACUCCGAGGCAACAGCCGCGGUAAUUC
rnacentral:rRNA from 1 species